rnacentral:tRNA from 1 species
UGGGGUAUAGCUCAGUGGUAGAGCACCCUUAGGUUCAUACCUAGUACUGCAAAAUAGAUAAAUAAAUAGAACUGGGGAUGUAUCUCAGAAGUAGAGUGCUCCUAGGUUCAAUUUCCAGUACCAGAA